rnacentral:rRNA from 1 species
CCUACGGGAGGCAGCAGUGAGGAAUAUUGGUCAAUGGACUAGAGUCUGAACCAGCCAAGUAGCGUGAAGGAAGACUGCCCUAUGGGUUGUAAACUUCUUUUAUAUGGGAAUAAAAUGUUCCACGUGUGGGAGUUUGUAUGUACCAUAUGAAUAAGGAUCGGCUAACUCCGUGCCAGCAGCCGCGGUAAUACGGAGGAUCCGAGCGUUAUCCGGAUUUAUUGGGUUUAAAGGGAUCGUAGGUGGAUUGUUAAGUCAGUUGUGAAAGUUUGCGGCUCAAACGUAAAAUUGCAGUUGAAACUUGCGGUCUUGAGUACAGUAGAGGUAGGCGGAAUUCGUGGUGUAGCGGUGAAAUGCUUAGAUAUCACGAAGAACUCAGAUUGCGAAGGCAGCUCACUGGACUGCAACUGACACUGAGGCUCGAAAGUGUGGGUAUCAAACAGGAUUAGAUACCCCAGUAGUC